rnacentral:rRNA from 1 species
UACGUAGGGUGCAAGCGUUGUCCGGAAUUAUUGGGCGUAAAGAGCUCGUAGGCGGCUUGUCGCGUCGGCUGUGAAAUCCCGUGGCUCAACUGCGGGUCUGCAGCCGAUACGGGCAGGCUAGAGUUCGGUAGGGGAGACUGGAAUUCCUGGUGUAGCGGUGAAAUGCGCAGAUAUCAGGAGGAACACCGGUGGCGAAGGCGGGUCUCUGGGCCGAUACUGACGCUGAGGAGCGAAAGCGUGGGGAGCGAACAGGAUAGAUACC